CCUACGGGUGGCAGCAGUGAGGAAUAUUGGUCAAUGGUCGGGAGACUGAACCAGCCAAGCCGCGUGAGGGAUGAAGGUACAGAGUAUCGUAAACCUCUUUUGUCAGGGAACAAAGGCGGGGACGUGUCCCCGGAUGAGUGUACCUGAAGAAAAAGCAUCGGCUAACUCCGUGCCAGCAGCCGCGGUAAUACGGAGGAUUCGAGCGUUAUCCGGAUUUAUUGGGUUUAAAGGGUGCGCAGGCGGGUUGUUAAGUCAGGGGUGAAAGCCCGCGGCUCAACCGUGGAACCGCAAUUGAUACUGGCAGUCUCGAGUAGGAGUGAGGUAGGCGGAAUGCGCGGUGUAGCGGUGAAAUGCAUAGAUAGCGCGCAGAACUCCGAUUGCGAAGGCAGCAUGCCGGCUCCACACUGACGCUGAGGCACGAAAGCGUGGGUAUCGAACAGGAUUAGGUACCCGUGUAGUC
rnacentral:rRNA from 1 species